rnacentral:rRNA from 1 species
ACAGGGAAUUCCCUAGUAACGGCGAGUGAACCGGGAAGAGCUCAAAUUUGAAAUCUGGCGUCCUCAGGGCGUCCGAGUUGUAAUCUAUAGAGGCGUUUUCCGUGCCGGACCGUGUCCAAGUUCCUUGGAACAGGAUAUCAAAGAGGGUGACAAUCCCGUACUUGACACGACGACCGGUGCUCUGUGAUACGUCUUCUACGAGUCGAGUUGUUUGGGAAUGCAGCUCAAAAUGGGUGGUGAGUUCCAUCUAAAGCUAAAUAUUGGCGAGAGACCGAUAGCGAACAAGUACCGUGAGGGAAAGAUGAAAAGCACUUUGGAAAGAGAGUUAAACAGUACGUGAAAUUGUUGAAAGGGAAACGAUUGAAGUCAGUCGUGACCGAGAGGCUCAGCCGGUUCUGCCGGUGUAUUCCCCUCGGUCGGGUCAACAUCAGUUUUGUCCGGUGGAUAAGGGCGGUAGGAAGGUGGCACCCUCGGGUGUGUUAUAGCCUGCCGUCGCAUACAUCGGGUGAGACUGAGGAACGCAGCUCGCCUUUAUGGCCGGGGUUCGCCCACGUCCGAGCUUAGGAUGUUGACAUAAUGGCUUUAAACGACCCGUCUUGAAMMMGGGGACACAAAA